GUGGGGAAUCUUGCGCAAUGGGCGAAAGCCUGACGCAGCCAUGCCGCGUGAAUGAUGAAGGUCUUAGGAUUGUAAAAUUCUUUCACCGGGGACGAUAAUGACGGUACCCGGAGAAGAAGCCCCGGCUAACUUCGUGCCAGCAGCCGCGGUAAUACGAAGGGGGCUAGCGUUGCUCGGAAUUACUGGGCGUAAAGGGCGCGUAGGCGGACAGUUUAGUCAGAGGUGAAAGCCCAGGGCUCAACCUUGGAAUUGCCUUUGAUACUGGCUGUCUUGAGUUUGGGAGAGGGGAGUGGAACUCCGAGUGUAGAGGUGAAAUUCGUAGAUAUUCGGAAGAACACCAGUGGCGAAGGCGACUCACUGGCCCAAUACUGACGCUGAGGCGCGAAAGCGUGGGGAGCAAACAGGAUUAGAAACCCUGGUAGUCC
rnacentral:rRNA from 1 species